rnacentral:miRNA from 1 species
CCUGUGCAGAGAUUAUUUUUUAAAAGGUCACAAUCAACAUUCAUUGCUGUCGGUGGGUUGAGCUGUGUGGACAAGCUCACUGAACAAUGAAUGCAACUGUGGCCCCG